rnacentral:lncRNA from 1 species
CAACCUUGUGUCAUAUGGUUUAUUACAAUUUGCCUCCCCUCUCCUACUAGACUCAGGAACUUCCAUAGGUUAUUUACCUUUGGCUGGGCAUGCAUGAUAAUGGGAUUCUCUCUAGUAGUCUCCUCUAUAUUGAUGAUAGGAUCCUUCCUACUAGCCUCCUCCACAUUCUUAAUAGUCUUUGUAACAAAUAUUUUUGUUUUGUUUUCCAUCACAAACACCAUUUAAAGCUUCGACAAACGUUUUGGGUUAUUUGUUUGAUGUUAGAGGUUUAGGGUUUGAAAUUAGGGUUGAUGAAAGGCAUGUCUAGUGUAUUUUGAAAGGUUCCAUGAAAAUGGGGGGUUGAAAAAUCCUCAGUGAAGAGGAUGGUUGAGGACGAUGAACAUUGCUAGGAUAGCCAUUUUCACCAUUCUUAAGUUAUUAACAAUCGAAAUUUAGAGGGUUAAUCGGUCUCCGCUAACUAUUAGAUUAG